rnacentral:misc_RNA from 1 species
UCAAACUUGGUCAUUUAGAGGAAGUAAAAGUCGUAACAAGGUCUCCGUUGGUGAACCAGCGGAGGGAUCAUUAUAGGGUCUUUCGACUGCCCAAACCCAACUGUGAACUCGUCUCCUUUGGGAGAAAUCAGAUAUUCGCAAUGCUUCGGCGGGUCGCUCGCUGGGGGAGCCUCGGGUUAGCGGAGACGCGCCGGCUCGCCGAAGGUAUGCGGAACCAAAUUCUUGAGCAACUUUCAGAGGGUUUUACUUUCCGUAACGGAAAAAAAUCACUCACAACUCACAACAAUGGAUCUCUUGGCUCUGGCAUCGAUGAAGAACGCAGC